UACGGGGGGGGCAAGCGUUGUUCGGAAUUACUGGGCGUAAAGAGCGCGCAGGCGGUCGUUCAAGUCGCGUGUGAAAGCCCCCGGCUCAACUGGGGAGGGUCACGCGAUACUGAUCGACUCGAAGGCAGGAGAGGGUAGUGGAAUUCCCGGUGUAGUGGUGAAAUGCGCAGAUAUCAGGAAGAACACCCGUGGCGAAGGCGGCUCUCUGGGACGGUACUGACGCUGAGACGCGAAAGCGUGGGGAGCGAACAGG
rnacentral:rRNA from 1 species